CUAGCCGGUAUUGCUUAGAUACGGCGAGUGAGCGGCAAAAGCUCAAAUUUGAAAUCUGGCACCUUCGGUGUCCGAGUUGUAAUUUGAAGAAGGUAACUUUGGAGUUGGCUCUUGUCUAUGUUCCUUGGAACAGGACGUCACAGAGGGUGAGAAUCCCGUGCGAUGAGAUGCCCAAUUCUAUGUAAAGUGCUUUCGAAGAGUCGAGUUGUUUGGGAAUGCAGCUCUAAGUGGGUGGUAAAUUCCAUCUAAAGCUAAAUAUUGGCGAGAGACCGAUAGCGAACAAGUACAGUGAUGGAAAGAUGAAAAGAACUUUGAAAAGAGAGUGAAAAAGUACGUGAAAUUGUUGAAAGGGAAGGGCUUGAGAUCAGACUUGGUAUUUUGCGAUCCUUUCCUUCUUGGUUGGGUUCCUCGCAGCUUACUGGGCCAGCAUCGGUUUGGAUGGUAGGAUAAUGACUAAGGAAUGUGGCUCUACUUCGGUGGAGUGUUAUAGCCUUGGUUGAUACUGCCUGUCUAGACCGAGGACUGCGUCUUUUGACUAGGAUGUUGGCCUAAUGAUCUUAAUCCACACGCCUUGAUAAAAGGACCAAGUCAAAGUUCAGUCUUUUUAAUUUUACCGUUAUGCCCUCACUUUUUUUCCCUUUACGAACCCCUUUUCCUAACUUCUACGCU
rnacentral:rRNA from 1 species